GUAAAGACAUCCGGUAACAUUACUAGCCUAUCGCCUUUAUCAAGCAUGUUCGCACGUCCUCCAUAACUGCAAAACAUUUUGUUCAUGCAAGUGUUCCUCAAACCUCUACAGACGUUAGGACAACAAUAUACAUUUCUUCUCUACAAUUUCAGACACCUUGUGCAUCGAACCCUGGGUCCAAGAAGGAAGCUCCAGCCUCGUCAACAACCAAGAAGUGCCACCAUGUAUUUACCAGUGCAGUUGUCUCCAGUUUGGAUCACUGUCAAGACUGUAGAGGACCCGUCUCAAGCCUAAAAUGGAUUGGUCUGACAUGUAAAAUGUUGAUGGUUCCAUCUUUGAUGAAGACUACGUCCUGAAACUGCAACAAGUAGUGAACUUUCCAG
ensembl:lncRNA